GAUGAACGCUGGCGGCGUGCCUAAUACAUGCAAGUCGAGCGAACAGACGAGGAGCUUGCUCCUCUGACGUUAGCGGCGGACGGGUGAGUAACACGUGGAUAACCUACCUAUAAGACUGGGAUAACUUCGGGAAACCGGAGCUAAUACCGGAUAAUAUAUUGAACCGCAUGGUUCAAUAGUGAAAGACGGUUUUGCUGUCACUUAUAGAUGGAUCCGCGCCGCAUUAGCUAGUUGGUAAGGUAACGGCUUACCAAGGCAACGAUGCGUAGCCGACCUGAGAGGGUGAUCGGCCACACUGGAACUGAGACACGGUCCAGACUCCUACGGGAGGCAGCAGUAUGGAAUCUUCCGCAAUGGGCGAAAGCCUGACGGAGCAACGCCGCGUGAGUGAUGAAGGUCUUCGGAUCGUAAAACUCUGUUAUUAGGGAAGAACAAAUGUGUAAGUAACUAUGCACGUCUUGACGGUACCUAAUCAGAAAGCCACGGCUAACUACGUG
rnacentral:rRNA from 1 species